rnacentral:misc_RNA from 1 species
ACUGAAUUAGAAGAUGGAAGAGUAGCCCCAAAUUCCAUUCCCAACCUCAUCUCCUGAUAAUAAUUUGAUUCAAUUACGACCCACCUGUCCUCAAAGAUUUUCAGUAACUGUUCUGCCAUUAUGUGUACAUCUUGCCCUUUUGGAUUAUAAGUCAUAGCAUUAUGAAAAGUAAGUCUGACAUCCUCUGCAAAUUCUUUUGGGGACUUAUACCAGUUCUUGUUUAGCCUCGUUUUCA